rnacentral:rRNA from 1 species
CUGUGUGUUGUUGGGUAGGGGAGCGUUCUGUAAGCCUGUGAAGGUGUGUCGUGAGGCAUGCUGGAGGUAUCAGAAGUGCGAAUGCUGACAUAAGUAACGAUAAAGCGGGUGAAAAGCCCGCUCGCCGGAAGACCAAGGGUUCCUGUCCAACGUUAAUCGGGGCAGGGUGAGUCGACCCCUAAGGCGAGGCCGAAAGGCGUAGUCGAUGGGAAACGGGUUAAUAUUCCCGUACUUGGUGUUACUGCGAAGGGGGGACGGAGAAGGCUAUGUUGGCCGGGCGACGGUUGUCCCGGUUUAAGCGUGUAGGUGUGUGUUCCAGGUAAAUCCGGUUCACUUUAACACUGAGGCGUGACGACGAGGCACUACGGUGCUGAAGCAACAAAUGCCCUGCUUCCAGGAAAAGCCUCUAAGCAUCAGGUAACAUCAAAUCGUACCCCAAACCGACACAGGUGGUCAGGUAGAGAAUACCAAGGCGCUUGAGAGAACUCGGGUGAAGGAACUAGGCAAAAUGGUGCCGUAACUUCGGGAGAAGGCACGCUGACACGUAGGUGAAGUGAUUUACUCAUGGAGCUGAAGUCAGUCGAAGAUACCAGCUGGCUGCAACUGUUUAUUAAAAACACAGCACUGUGCAAACACGAAAGUGGACGUAUACGGUGUGACGCCUGCCCGGUGCCGGAAGGUUAAUUGAUGGGGUCAGCGCAAGCGAAGCUCCUGAUCGAAGCCCCGGUAAACGGCGGCCGUAACUAUAACGGUCCUAAGGUAGCGAAAUUCCUUGUCGGGUAAGUUCCGACCUGCACGAAUGGCGUAAUGAUGGCCAGGCUGUCUCCACCCGAGACUCAGUGAAAUUGAACUCGCUGUGAAGAUGCAGUGUACCCGCGGCAAGACGGAAAGACCCCGUGAACCUUUACUAUAGCUUGACACUGAACAUUGAGCCUUGAUGUGUAGGAUAGGUGGGAGGCUUUGAAGUGUGGACGCCAGUCUGCAUGGAGCCGACCUUGAAAUACCACCCUUUAAUGUUUGAUGUUCUAACGUGGACCCGUUACCCGGGUUGCGGACAGUGUCUGGUGGGUAGUUUGACUGGGGCGGUCUCCUCCUAAAGAGUAACGGAGGAGCACGAAGGUUGGCUAAUCCUGGUCGGACAUCAGGAGGUUAGUGCAAUGGCAUAAGCCAGCUUGACUGCGAGCGUGACGGCGCGAGCAGGUGCGAAAGCAGGUCAUAGUGAUCCGGUGGUUCUGAAUGGAAGGGCCAUCGCUCAACGGAUAAAAGGUACUCCGGGGAUAACAGGCUGAUACCGCCCAAGAGUUCAUAUCGACGGCGGUGUUUGGCACCUCGAUGUCGGCUCAUCACAUCCUGGGGCUGAAGUAGGUCCCAAGGGUAUGGCUGUUCGCCAUUUAAAGUGGUACGCGAGCUGGGUUUAGAACGUCGUGAGACAGUUCGGUCCCUAUCUGCCGUGGGCGCUGGAGAACUGAGGGGGGCUGCUCCUAGUACGAGAGGACCGGAGUGGACGCAUCACUGGUGUUCGGGUUGUCAUGCCAAUGGCACUGCCCGGUAGCUAAAUGCGGAAGAGAUAAGUGCUGAAAGCAUCUAAGCACGAAACUUGCCCCGAGAUGAGUUCUCCCUGAGACUUAGAGUCUCCUGAAGGAACGUUGAAGACGACGACGUUGAUAGGCCGGGUGUGUAAGCGCAGCGAUGCGUUGAGCUAACCGGUACUAAUGAACCGUGAGGCUUAACCUUACA